rnacentral:lncRNA from 1 species
CUUCCUUUUUUUAAAAGUUCACUAAAAUCCUACUUUUUGUAAAAAUUGUGCAAGUUGGUCCUUUUUGCUAACAGCGUUAAUUCUGCUAACGGCAGAGCUGCCAGCUGGCUAUUAUGUGUUAAAAAAAAAUUAUUAAUUGUGACGUGGAAAUGUAAUAAAAUUAAGGUUAAAAUUAAAAUAGAAAUUUUGGUAAUUUGGGAUAAUUAGACCAACUGAUUUGAAAAUCGCCGGCCACCGCAAAGGCUCUCCCUCCUCUUUCUCUUCUUUCCUCCACGAAACAUCCUCGCCGCUGACGGUGAUGACAGUUGCUAGCGCGGACCAAACCCUGUCUCUGAGAACUGUCUUCUCUUGCUUUCAGCUCGCCUAGAAACGCUUUCAAGUGUUUGUGAUUUGGUCUCACCCUCAUCUGGGGAAUCAAGGUUCCACCUUUUUGGGCACCACACGCACGACAACAUGACCAUCACAACGAACCACAUUAACCUCGUUUCGUAAUUCAUCCAUAGAACGAUGCAAAAAACUGCGUUUUGAAAAAAAAUUGACGAUAGGGAAUGGAAGUGGAUGAAAACGAAACCCACCCACGAGUGAUGUUAAUAAAUUAAAACCAAACUAACACAGAACCAUAAUUUGGCCUAAUUUACCGUGAUGAUUGUUUAAGAAUCUUAUGUAAUUCCUAAAUUCCCCAAUUUCUAACCCUAAUUCCAAAAUUACAACCACAUGGAGGAAUUAUAGACAAACCUGUUGACGACGAAAUUUAUUCUAAAUUUUAUUUUAGUAUUAUGUUUUUUCUUCACCGGAGAAUGACAUUUUAUAUCAUUGCCGGAGUUAUAUCAGGGGCCCUUCUCUAUAUUAAAGAUAAUUUUGAAGCCGUCAGACACAACAAUUCAUCCGAUGAAUGACUUAUGUUGACGGCGUUUCUGGGUGAGCGGAAGCAAGAGCAGACAGUCCUCAGAGUCAAGGUUUGAUCCGCGCCAGCAACUGCCAUCACCGGCAACAGCGAGGAUGUUUCGUGGAGGAACGUGAAUUUUUUUCUUUCCCCUGAAGAAGAAAAAGAGGAGGGAGAGCCCUUGCGGUGGUCCGCGAUGGUACCAGUGGACAAACUAAAUUCUUUCAAAUCAGUUUGUCUAAUUACUCCAAAUUACCCUAAUUUCAAUUUUAAUUUUAACCCUAAUUUUAUUACAUUUCCACGUCACAAUUAAUAAUUUUUUUUAACACAUAAUAGCCAGCUAGCAGCCUUGCCGUUAACAGAAUUAACGCCGUUAGCAAAAAGGACCAACUUGCACAAUUUUUGCAAAAUGUAGGACUUUAGUGAACUUUUUAAAAAAGAAAGGACCACCUUGAACAAAACCCCCCAAAAGAGGGACCAAAAUAGGUAUUAAACCUAAUAUUUGAGUGUGACCCCUUAAUAAGAUAAAAAGUCAUAUAUAAG